GGGCAGUCGGCUGGAGGCACUGCGGGGUCCCGGCCCGCUCGCUGUGGUGGAGGGCGGGCGGGCGGGCGGAGGAGGCGACGGGAACAACCAGCAGCAGCACCCGUCGUCCUCAGGGAGCCCGGGGGGGCUCACCUCCUUGCCCUGAGGGAGCCCAGGGGCGGUAUUAAGCACUGCUCACCUGCCUCCCUACCCUGGAGCCUCCUUUUGCUUGUCUUUCACGGUAGCUGGAACUGCAUGGCAGAGCAACUUAAUCUUAAGUGGCUAUAGAUGGAGUUCAAGUGAACUCAAAGACCUUGAAACCUUGGACAUUAUACAGACCUGUAUCACAAAACAGUCUCUGUUCCAAACAGAUCUGAGUGUAAGGCUU
rnacentral:lncRNA from 1 species